ACCUUCUUUUCUUCCAGAGAAAACAAAAAAGUUACAUAAAACAGUAAUCAUUUAGUUAUAUUUCCAAAAUGGUUGCAGUAUUUUUUUACUUCAGACAUAUUCAACCAUGAACAAGAAAAAACUUGAAAAAUACUUUUAUCCAGCACAUGCUAAUAUCCAAAACUUAUACCCGAAUCCCAGUAAUUUAGACCUACCUUUAAUUUUCCCCAAAUUGAAUUAUAGAGCCUCAUCAUCACAACUGGUAUCUUGGAAUAUCUCAUGAAACAUUUCUGUGAAUAUGUGAGCUGCCAGGAUUCCUCUUGUCCCACUGAAGACAAUGGAAGACUUGUUAAAAAUUAAAAACUCCAUGCUCGUUAGUUUAUCACAUGGAAGAUGGCAAUGAAAAGAUGGUCGUUCCUGUUGAGAUUGGCCAACCAUGCUGCUGUUACAUGUUUUGUUGAAGUGGAUGCAGGUUGAUGACAUGCUACAGCACGUAUACUUGCUAUAACAGCAAGGUUUUCUCUUUAGUUUCUUUGUUAAGCUACUUAGUUGAAAAUGAACUAAGUUGGUAUUGUUUUGAUGUUUUUAGGUGCUGAUUGACAUAAUCAGCUUGUGUGCAAGUUAAGUUUUUCUCUUUAGUUUCUUUGUUGAUUAAACUACUUGAAAAUGAACAAGCUGAUGACAGCUUGAUAUGUUUAGGUGUUGAAUGACUAGUUUAGGUGGUUUGUUUGAGUACAAGCAAUGUUUUUAAAGUUACUAGGCUACUUAGUGGUAGUAGGUAGUAAUAACUGAUGUAGUUGGCUAUAAAUGUAUUGUUUUUCUUAUUGAAAAAUUAAGCAUAUCAGUUGUGUAAGGCAGAUUGCUUCCUUGCUGCACGUUUGUGAGCAAGUAAA